rnacentral:piRNA from 1 species
UGUGAGACACAGGUGUCAGACAGUUGCCGU